GGUCGCUUAGCUCAGUUGGUUAGAGCGUGGUGCUAAUAAGCCUUCUUAUCACUUGAUAACGCCAAGGUCGCAGGUUCGACCCCUGCAGUGAUCA
rnacentral:tRNA from 1 species